rnacentral:lncRNA from 1 species
UAAUUUUUAGAAGGAUAUCUGACACCCGGAUAUCCGCGAACCCCGGAUCCGGAUAAGGAUAGUAAAAUUAUGGAUCCGCCGGAUAAGGAUCCGGAUCCGGAUAUCUUAAAAUUGCCCGGAUACCCGAUCCGUCCCAGGCCUAGUUACAUCUACCUGAAAAGUUCAUUUGCAAAUAAACCAGCUCACUUUUUUAUAUCAUUCAACUAAGAAGAAUUAGAGUAAGAUAAUAUUACCAGUUGUUUGAGAAAACAGAAGAAAAAAAGUUAGGAUCAAAGAAGCAAGUUGAAUCUUCUGUGCUGACAUUGCUUUCUUUGUAUCUCUUUUCUUUUGUGAAGAUGUUUUUUUUGGGUUUAAGAUCAAAUGACCAUCCCCUUUAAAUAUUUGCUUAUAUUUG